rnacentral:rRNA from 1 species
UACGGGGGGGGCAAGCGUUGUUCGGAAUUACUGGGCGUAAAGGGUUCGUAGGUGGCUUGCUAAGUCAGACGUGAAAUCCCUCAGCUUAACUGGGGAACUGCGUCUGAUACUGGCGAGCUUGAGUGCAGGAGAGGAACGCAGAAUUCCAGGUGUAGCGGUGAAAUGCGUAGAUAUCUGGAGGAACACCGGUGGCGAAGGCGGCGUUCUGGACUGUAACUGACACUGAGGAACGAAAGCCAGGGUAGCAAACGGG